rnacentral:lncRNA from 1 species
CUCAUUACAAGUGAAUGAAAUUGCAGCAUGAUUAAUGUAUACAAAAAAAAAAAAAUCUGUCAAUAAAUGUAUUUAACCAUUAAAAAUCUUACAAUGAGCAUAUGAUUGGAAAUUUAUUUAUGAGAAGUUAGACUAAAAAAGUGGUCGUAUUCUGAAUAUUCGCUCAGCUCACAGUAAAAGGAGAAAAACAUACACUGUUCAGUCUGAAGGUACCUGUUCAUGUAGGGGGACAUGUCUUAUAGCAGAUUCUCUCCUUGUGGUGAACUAGCAUGUUAAAAAGGAGCUCAGUGCAUUAUUGGUCUAGUUCUGUACAAAAUAUGUUAAUUACAUUGUAUUUAUAUCUGAGUAUCAUGUCCUCUUCCUGCACUUAACUUGCCACUGGAUCACAUAACAUCAAUCCAUCCACCCAUCUUCUCAAAAGUAAUAUACCGAGUUCCAAUGUUCAAUAUGUUCUGAUUUGACUCAAGCAAGAUAUAAAUACAUGUAAUAUGGUAUUGUCAAAUAGAAGUAUUAAUAAGUAUUAAAAACAUAAACCUUAUAGACCACACAAGAUGCAAUUCUGACAAUAAAUAUGACAUAAAGCCAGAAUAUUUAAAAAAAAAAAAGCUAAAGUAACUGUCGAAGAGCUGGAUCUAAAGCAAAACCACUUCAGGACAACAAAAAUCAGAGAAAUAAAAAAAAACAUAACGAAAACAUUAACAUGUCACGAUAUAGAAAAUGAAUGGAAAUGGGGUAAGUGUCAAAGAGAACAAUUAACCCACCCCAAAUAUACAAAACAACUAGGCAUCACUAUACAGAUAC